UGGGGAAUUUUGGACAAUGGGCGAAAGCCUGAUCCAGCAAUGCCGCGUGUGUGAAGAAGGCCUUCGGGUUGUAAAGCACUUUUGUCCGGAAAGAAAUCCUUGGCUCUAAUACAGUCGGGGGAUGACGGUACCGGAAGAAUAAGCACCGGCUAACUACGUGCCAGCAGCCGCGGUAAUACGUAGGGUGCAAGCGUUAAUCGGAAUUACUGGGCGUAAAGCGUGCGCAGGCGGUUUGCUAAGACCGAUGUGAAAUCCCCGGGCUCAACCUGGGAACUGCAUUGGUGACUGGCAGGCUAGAGUAUGGCAGAGGGGGGUAGAAUUCCACGUGUAGCAGUGAAAUGCGUAGAGAUGUGGAGGAAUACCGAUGGCGAAGGCAGCCCCCUGGGCCAAUACUGACGCUCAUGCACGAAAGCGUGGGGAGCAAACAGGAUUAGAUACCCUGGUAGUCCACGCCCUAAACGAUGUCAACUAGUUGUGGGGAUUCAUUCCUUAGUAACGUAGCUAACGCGUGAAGUUGACCGCCUGGGGAGUACGGUCGCAAGAUUAAAACUUAAAGGAAUUG
rnacentral:rRNA from 1 species